rnacentral:lncRNA from 1 species
GCAAACUGGAUAGCCACUAGAGAGUUCUCACCUCUACUAAUGCUCAGAUGGAAAGGAUGAUCCACUGAACCUCAGUCUGCUCCCAACUGCACUGCUGCCCCAACUCCCUGAGACUGCAAUGCAUUCCUGUCUUCGCCCAACUUACAGUCUUCUCUGUAGAACCAUAUCACUCCUGUCUCUACAUUACUAGUUCUGGGAUUAAAGGUACCUCCAGGUUCCUGGAGAAAGACCUGCUGAUGUGUCAAGAAAACUGGCCUGAUGGAAACUAAUAUCAAUCUCCAGAGCCCCUGUUGACCCCAAACAUUUC